UUGAUCUUGAUCUCUCUCUUCCUUACAAAUUUCAUCCAUGUGAAAAGAGGGGUUGAGGGAUUAUAGAUAGUAAUCAAAAACCAAAGGAAGCAAAAGUCUCGACAUACCAUCAUCAGUGAUAAAUGGGUUCUUCAGUGAGAGUAUUUGGAUCAGUUCUUCACAAAUUCUCCAAUGGGGUUUCCUCAAAAUGCCCUAUCUCAUCAUUUUCUCUCCAAAGAACGUGUUUAUUGGGUAAUUAUUUAACUUCUUCAUCUUCUUCUACAUGGGUUUCGUUUGAAUUGAAGCCUAAACAACACUCUGCAAGAAAGAUAAUGACAUUUUCUCCUGUCUGUAUGGGCAGGCGUUCUAGCAAAAUUGCUGGAAGAAAGGGUGCUCAAGAUGCUAAGAAGGCAAAGCGAUAUGGGAAGAUUGGAAAAGAAAUCAUAUCAGCAGUAAAAAAAGGUGGUCCAAAUCCUGUAUCAAAUACACUUCUGGCUACCAUACUGGAGAAAGCUAAGGAACUUGAUGUGCCAAAAGAUAUUUUAGAGCGCAAUAUUAAAAGGGCAUCUGAGAAGGGACAAGAGGCUUACAUAGAAAGAUUAUAUGAGGUAUAUGGUUACGGCGGAGUAGGAAUGGUAGUUGAGGUCUUAACUGAUAACGUAAACAGAUCGGUGGCAGCUGUACGCACGGUGGUUAAGGAUUGUGGUGGAAAGAUGGCAGAUUCAGGUUCAAUCAUGUUUAAAUUUAGGCGUGCACGUGUUGCGAAUGUAAAGGUUGCAGAUGCUGAAAAAGAUCAGAUCCUUACGGUUGCAUUAGAUUCCGGUGCCGAGGAUGUUAUUGAACCUACAAUUCAUGAAGAUGACUCAGACGAUGAUGAUUCGGAAAGGUACUAUAAGAUCAUAUGUCCAGCAGAGAACUAUACAGAUAUAGUGUCUAAGCUUCGGGAGGAAGGAAUAGCUUUUGAGUCGGAAAAUGAGAUGCUCCCUUUAACAACUAUCGAGGUAGAUGAUGAAGCAAUGGAUUUGAACAAAGACCUUAUGUCUAAAUUACUUGAACUUGAUGACGUUGAUGCUGUUUAUGCGGACCAACAGUGACCCUACCUGAUUCUGUACACCUUUAUUCAUCACAAAAUAACUCAGUUUACCUGAGUCGGCAAAGCCUAUACUUGGAAUCGGAACCAGUGGAGGAAGGUAAGCUGAAAAAGAGGUUGGUUAAAGGGAAAAUGAGACAUUAGUUUUCACGAUUAAAGUUGUUAUUCAUGAGGGUUGUUGAUUCUUUGUUUUCGUAGUGGAAAACACCGUUUGCUAAUGGUGGCAUUUGGGAACCUGUACUAUGCUUUCAUGUGAUUGAAAUUCUUCAGCAACAGCAUUAUAUUUUGCAAAAGCUAAAAAAAAAGAAGGUUGUCUGUGAUAAAAUGGGUUCUUAGUGGUGGCAUAGUUUUUUAGGAGAAAUGGAAGAGUAAAGAUGUUGUCUGGGACUAAUUGGCUUUAUUGGCGGCUUAUUAGAAGU